GGAAGUGAAAGUCGUAACAAGGUCUCCGUUGGUGAACCAGCGGAGGGAUCAUUACAGGACUCGCAAGACUCCUUCACCCUGUGAACCUCACUACAAGCACGUUGCUUCGGCGGGUGUCCCGGCGGGGGUUUUCCCUCGCCGGGGCGCACAGCCCGCCGGCAGCCUACUAUACUCUGUCUCUUUGCGUUGGCAUCUCGAGAAAAAACAAACAAGUUAAAACUUUCAACAACGGAUCUCUUGGUUCUG
rnacentral:misc_RNA from 1 species